UUCAGGUGCAGCGAAUAUCAGUCAGUGCCUGAUCAAUCUGUUCUCAGGGUUUCCAGGGUGACUCAGAAAGCACACCAGUGGCUAAGGCAUUAAGUCGCCUCCAAAGCCUUCCAUCUUGAAUGUCCUGUUGUGGCUUAAUGUUUGAUACUUCCCCAGUAAGCGGGCUGCCUUGGGUUGAGCGAAUAAAUUCCUUGUUUGACGGGCGAAACCGUGGCGGGUGGCCACAGUGGCGGUGAUAUCUCGUGUCCCGGUGGACCAUGAGAGUGGGGUUCCCGGGUCCCCUGGCAGGGCCCUCGGGGCUGCUGGGAGCUGUGUGUGGAAAGGGGAGCCUUGUGGAAAGGAAGCGGGGAGGAGACGUGGUCGUCCAGUCUGCUCGACAGGCCAUCCAGUUCUCAAGCUAACACUUGUGGAAUUGGUGAUUCCUACGAACAGGAAGGAAUCCCCCCGCCCCCCCCCCACACACACAUAGCAAAUGGCCUAGACCUGGGUCUCCAGCUGCAGAAGAGCUCGUCCUGGCCGCCUCCCUGCUCCGGAAGUGGGACUGGCAGCAUCGGCCUCCAUUUACAGCAUAAUACCCUCCAGUUCCAUCCACGUUGCUGCAAAUGGCAGGAUUUCAUUCUCGCUCACUACCAAGUGGCCCGGGAUCCCAAUCUCGGAGCCUCCGACCCAGGCCCCGUCAGGUACUCAGGAUUCUGGAAUUGGCAAGGAUGAAGCACUCUGCAUUUAUAAAUAGUCUCCUGCUUUUUGGGAUUUCAAUGACUAUUAUGAUUGUUCUCCCUCAUUUAUAAAUUAUUGCUGGGAAAGGCACAUUCUCAAAUACUCAUUGCUCUUAAGAGAUAAUGAUCUGUGCUGAGCGCCACAGCCUUCCCCGUGCAGGAGCCGCUUUAUGGCACUCGAGAGUCAGCGUUGAGAGGAAUGUGGUGGAAGGUGCCAGAGAGAUACGGCAGCUGGAAGAGGGCGGGCUGGCGUCGCCGGGUGGCUCUGGCCCACGUGCUCCGGAAGCGCCUCUCCAGGUUGGACCAAGGGAGAAACAGCCACCUUCCCCACUGACCUGUUCAAGGGACGGAGACGCAGCUUUGGGGCGUGAUCCCACUUUAUUCUCAGGCCCGUGUUCAAAAGUGGGGCCCA